rnacentral:misc_RNA from 1 species
GUGAAUCAUCGAAUUUUUGAACGCAAAUUGCACUCUCCUCGGAGAGUAUGCCUGUUUGAGGGUCAGCCUAUAAAAAUCGACAUCGUUGCUGUUUCGCGGUGGCGUUCGUCGGAAAUUGGGUCAUCUUAAAACCUUUGGUUUUAGUAAGCUUAAAAUUUUUUUUUGUUCCAUUCAACGUUCGUAUAUAAGAUUUUUUUACUGGUUUACGUUUUCGUUUUUUAUUGAA